rnacentral:rRNA from 1 species
GACAGAGGGGGCAAGCGUUGCUCGGAAUUACUGGGCGUAAAGGGCGCGUAGGCGGGCUGCCAAGUUUGGGGUGAAAUCCUCCGGCUCAACCGGAGAACGGCCUCAAAUACUGGCGGUCUCGAGGGGGGUAGGGGCAUGCGGAACUAUGCGUGGAGCGGUGAAAUGCGUUGAUAUGCAUAGGAACUCCGGUGGCGAAGGCGGCAUGCUGGACCCUUUCUGACGCUGAGGCGCGAAAGCCAGGGGAGCAAACGGG